AGUGUACGCUGGCGGUAGGCCUAACACAUGCUAGUCGAACGGCAGCACAGAGGAGCUUGCUUCUUGGGUGGCGAGUGGCGGACGGGUGAGGAAUACAUCGGAAUCUACUCUGUCGUGGGGGAUAACGUAGGGAAACUUACGCUAAUACCGCAUACGACCUACGGGUGAAAGCAGGGGAUCUUCGGACCUUGCGCGAUUGAAUGAGCAGAUGUCGGAUUAGCUAGUUGGCGGGGUAAAGGCCCACCAAGGCGACGAUCAGUAGCUGGUCUGAGAGGAUGAUCAGCCACACUGGAACUGAGACACGGUCCAGACUCCUACGGGGGGCAGCAGUGGGGAAUAUUGGACAAUGGGCGCAAGCCUGAUCCAGCCAUACCGCGUGGGUGAAGAAGGCCUUCGGGUUGUAAAGCCCUUUUGUUGGGAAAGAAAUCCAUCUGGUUAAUACCCGGGUGGGAUGACGGUACCCAAAGAAUAAGCACCGGCUAACUUCGUGCCAGCCGCCGCGGUAA
rnacentral:rRNA from 1 species